rnacentral:rRNA from 1 species
CAGUAGCCGCGGGAAAACAGAGGGUGCGAGCGUUAAUCGGAUUUACUGGGCGUAAAGCGUGCGUAGGCGGCUUUUUAAGUCGGAUGUGAAAUCCCUGAGCUUAACUUAGGAAUUGCAUUCGAUACUGGGAAGCUAGAGUAUGGGAGAGGAUGGUAGAAUUCCAGGUGUAGCGGUGAAAUGCGUAGAGAUCUGGAGGAAUACCGAUGGCGAAGGCAGCCAUCUGGCCUAAUACUGACGCUGAGGUACGAAAGCAUGGGGAGCAAACAGGAUUAGAUACCCCUGUAGUCCCUGUCUCUUAUAC